UACGGAGGAUCCAAGCGUUAUCCGGAUUUAUUGGGUUUAAAGGGUGUGUAGGCGGAUAUUUAAGUCAGAGGUGAAAUCUCCGAGCUCAACUCGGAAACUGCCUUUGAUACUAUUUAUCUUGAAUUUCGUUGAGGUUGGCGGAAUAUAUCAUGUAGCGGUGAAAUGCAUAGAUACGAUAUAGAACACCGAUUGCGAAGGCAGCUGGCUGAACGAACAUUGACGCUGAGGCACGAAAGCGUGGGUAGCGAACAGG
rnacentral:rRNA from 1 species